rnacentral:rRNA from 1 species
GAUGAACGCUGGCGGCGUGCCUAAUACAUGCAAGUCGAGCGAACGGACGAGAAGCUUGCUUCUCUGAUGUUAGCGGCGGACGGGUGAGUAACACGUGGAUAACCUACCUAUAAGACUGGGAUAACUUCGGGAAACCGGAGCUAAUACCGGAUGAUAUUUUGAACCGCAUGGUUCAAAAGUGAAAGACGGUCUUGCUGUCACUUAUAGAUGGAUCCGCGCUGCAUUAGCUAGUUGGUAAGGUAACGGCUUACCAAGGCAACGAUGCAUAGCCGACCUGAGAGGGUGAUCGGCCACACUGGAACUGAGACACGGCCCAGACUCCAACGGGAGGCAGCGGUAGGGAAUCUUCCGCAAUGGGCGAAGGCCGGAGGGAGCAACGCCGCGGGAGUGAUGAAGGUCUUCGGAUGUUAAAACUCUGUUAUUAGGAAAGAACAAAUGUGUAAGUACCUGUGCACAUCUGGACGGUACCUAAUCAGAAAGCCACGGCUAACUACGUG